rnacentral:rRNA from 1 species
UUCGGGGCGCUGACGAGUGGCGAACGGGUGAGUAACACGUGGAAACCUGUCCCGGGGCGGGGGACAACAGUUGGAAACGACUGCUAAUACCGCAUACGCCCUACGGGGGAAAGAUUCAUCACCCUGGGAGGGGUCCGCGUUGGAUUAGCUUGUUGGUGGGGUAAAGGCCCACCAAGGCGACGAUCCAUAGCUGGUCUGAGAGGAUGAUCAGCCACACUGGGACUGAGACACGGCCCAGACUCCUACGGGAGGCAGCAGUGGGGAUAUUGCGCAAUGGGGGCAACCCUGACGCAGCGAUGCCGCGUGAGUGAAGAAGGCCUUCGGGUUGUAAAGCUCUUUCAGUGGGGACGAUUGUGACGGUACCCACAGAAGAAGCUCCGGCUAACUCCGUGCCAGCAGCCGCGGUAAUACGGAGGGGGCGAGCGUUGUUCGGAAUUACUGGGCGUAAAGGGCGCGUAGGCGGUUUGGCAAG